rnacentral:rRNA from 1 species
AUUGAACGCUGGCGGCAUGCUUUACACAUGCAAGUCGAACGGUAACAGGCCGCAAGGUGCUGACGAGUGGCGAACGGGUGAGUAAUGCAUCGGAACGUGCCCAGUCGUGGGGGAUAACGCAGCGAAAGCUGCGCUAAUACCGCAUACGAUCUAUGGAUGAAAGCGGGGGACCGUAAGGCCUCGCGCGAUUGGAGCGGCCGAUGUCAGAUUAGGUAGUUGGUGGGGUAAAGGCUCACCAAGCCAACGAUCUGUAGCUGGUCUGAGAGGACGACCACCCAAACGUGGACUGAUACACGGCCCAGACUCCUACGGGAGGCAGCAGUGGGGAAUUUUGGACAAUGGGCGCAAGCCUGAUCCAGCAAUGCCGCGUGCAGGAAGAAGGCCUUCGGGUUGUAAACUGCUUUUGUCAGGGAAGAAAUCUUCUGGGCUAAUACCCCGGGAGGAUGACGGUACCUGAAGAAUAAGCACCGGCUAACUACGUGCCAGCAGCCGCCGUAACAC